UACGUAGGGUGCAAGCGUUGUCCGGAAUUAUUGGGCGUAAAGAGCUCGUAGGCGGUUUGUCGCGUCUGCUGUGAAAUCCCGAGGCUCAACCUCGGGCCUGCAGUGGGUACGGGCAGACUGGAGUGCGGUAGGGGAGAAUGGAAUUCCUGGUGUAGUGGUGGAAUGCGCAGAUAUCAGGAGGAACACCGAUGGCGAAGGCAGUUCUCUGGGCCGCAACUGACGCUGAGGAGCGAAAGCAUGGGGAGCGAACAGG
rnacentral:rRNA from 1 species